GUAAGACUGGCUGCCUUGCUGUCUAUCCCUAGACUGACUCCAUCAUUCCCUGACAUCCAGCCUUCAGCUGGAGAGAACCACCAGACAAGGACAAUGUCUGCUCUUUGGCUAAGAGAUGUCGCGUGGCAUCGAAGAUGAGACUCCCCUGCUUUUAAGCAGGACUCCCAUCCCGCUGGAGAUCACCACCUGAGAUCACCAACUGAGCAGAGACCAACCUGUGCCCAUCUUCUCAAUUGCCUGCUUCACAUCCACCAUCCGCCUGUGAAUUGGUCUGUACCUGACUGGUUCCUUCACAUCACUCAAUAUUUAUUCAUAUGGCAUCUCCCGAGACAGGUCCUCACAGACCACCCAGGCUCAUUCUCUUCAGAGCACUUAUUAUGUUAGGUAACAUGCUGUUCUUUGGUAGAUGAUGAAAAUCAAACCUUGGAAUGAUUCACACCAAUGUUCAUAAGUGUGUGAUGAUUUGGUAAGAGAUGCUAUGAUGUAUGUGAA